GGAGAAACAAUAUAACUGGGGGAUCGUUUGACUAGUCCGCAGGAUUUCUAGGUGCUAUCCUGCGUCUAGGGAUGAGCGGUCCAACCGAGGGACAGAACUACAAAGCUCCCACACCGGAACAUCCAACGCCAUGUGUAGCUCCCAAACUAUGUCCUAUGCGCGCAGACUGGAUCAUCACACACCGGAACAUCCAACGCCAUGGGUGAUGACCCUAAACACUAUACAGAGUCUUUCCACACGCUGGAAGAUCCAAUGCCGCAUAUGGAAAGUGUAUCACACGUCGGAACAUCCAACGCCGUGGGUGAGACGGAUGACCUAUUCUUCCCAUACGCUGGAACAUCCAACGCCGCGUGUGGAAAGUCUAAUAACUGAGGAAGGUACUUACAUAGUGUAAUCAUACAACUUCUCUCAAUAAUGCCCUCAACAUCCCAAGCAUCUCGUCUAUAGAGAAUAUAUUUAUACUUCCC
rnacentral:lncRNA from 1 species